GCCCACGUAGCUCAGUGGAUGAGCACCUCGCUACGAACGAGAAGGACGCAGGUUCGACUCCUGCCGUGGGCU
rnacentral:tRNA from 1 species